rnacentral:lncRNA from 1 species
ACCACAUUUUCUCAUAAUUGUCAUUAUCAGUAAAAAGUGAUAAAAUGACACAAUGCAGUAUGACGUCUAAAAUGAACAAAGCUUGGUUAAGGUGUCCAAGUAAAAAUUGGUGUCAACUUUAGGAGGCCACCGAUGAAUUAUGCCAAAAUAGAUGAUAUACAAAUAGACCAUAAAAAAUAUGGUGUAGUGAAUAAAGUUAUUCCUUCAUUAAUCAGAGAUUUUGAUUUUGAGCCCGGUAUAUAAAAAGCGCUUCCGCCGAAUGAGCCCUAUGUAGAGAAAAAGAUAUCAAACACCGAACAAAUAUAUCUCGUAAUCCAAAAAAUAAAAUAGUGGUGCUGAUUGUAUACAAUAAAUGCUUAGGUGUCCAAGAAGUAGCUCUUAGUCAUCUAUCAAAUUAAUGAGGGAGGCAAGUGGGUGAACCCCCAAAGUCUGUUACCAAAUAUGGUAAAACAAUCAAGUCCCCUACGCAACACUUCACUUAUAUAUUAUUAUUAUUUGAAGAAUUGAACACUGUACUUGUGAUUUUAUACGUUGGUAUCGUGUUUGAUGUACAUACGUCACUUUCUUUUUGGUUAAAUUGGCCUUUGUUUUGUCUAAUUUGUGCGCAUAUCAAAUAUUUCAUCAAUUACCUGCUAUUUCCAACCUACAAAGCUAAGUCAAUGAGAAGCCAUCACCUUAAAUGGUUGUUUGGUUAGGACCAAGGAUAUCCUGAGAUUAUAAUACCGGAAUUAUAAUCGCUAUCCUAGUUUAGUUACUACCAAUGAUCAAGCACAGAUGCUUAGUCUAAAUAAUAUAGGAACAGAUUUCUAGUUCUAGUUAAAUUAUGCUCUGCACUAUUAAUAAUAGAGGUGUUCCUAGCUCUUUUCUAGUGAGGAAUAUAGUGAAAAAUUAUUUGAGUUUAUAAAUAAAAUAUUUUUCAUCAUGAUUUUCACUCAUUGCAUUGACGGCAAGACCACCCUCCUAGGGUGCAAGUCUUUCUUUUUCUCACCACUUUUCUCAAGUUAAUUUAUAUCUAGAUUUCAACUCAUCAGUCAGUCAAAUACACCUAUCAUGGUCAAUUGGCUUUACUUAUUUCUUUCAAAGAUUUGAUUUUUCUAACUUCCCCCAUCUUCCCCUUAUAUAUUUUCCUUCUUCAACUAGGCUGAAAAUUCCACAAACAAGAGGAAAAUUAGUUAUCUUGAGAGUGGGGUAGAAGCUUCUGCUUUCCAUUGCUAUUUAUCUCACUAGUUAUAGGUGCAAGGAAGACUCUGAUGGAGGGGAAAGCAGAGGCAGUAACAAUGAAGCCAACUAAUGAUGAACUACUUUCUAAACAAAUAAUGAGGCAGGAAGCAGCAGCAACAGAAAAACAAGAAAUUCAAAUGCGAUGUGACGACGCAAUGAAGCCAAAUGAUGAUGAACUUCUUUCUAAACAAAGAAUGAAGCAGGAAGCAGUAGCAACAGAAAAACAAGGAAUUCAAAUGCAAUGCGACGACACAAUUACAGAUCAAGAGAUGAACAAAAUUGAACUAAUGAGGGCUCUUGUUGAAAAGCAAGAUCCUUCUUCCAAGGUAUUAUACAAUUUUCUGCAGCAUUGCAGCAUUUCUCUCCCUUUCUAACUAUAAAAAUCAAUAUUUUUUAAACAAAAGUAGAAUGAUUUCCAUGUACCUUGUUUGCAGGAAGUAGAUGACUAUGCCUUGAGAAGGUUUCUUCGAGCUCGCGAUCUGGACAUAGAGAAAUCUGCAGCAAUGUUCUUGAAAUAUCUUAAAUGGAGGCAAAGCUUUGUACCAAAAGGGUCCAUUUCAGUGAGUG